CCACCUGCUACUCCUCUCUGAGCUACUUUUCCAGGUUCCACAGGGAGAGGUUCAGCUGUCCGUGGUAGACAUGAGGGUAGAGAAUGAGGUGGUUGGGUUCCACUUACCUUUCUAUCAUCUUGCAGUAUGGAUGUCUCUUGACUGGUACCAUGUAGACUUUUGAGGGCACACAGGAGUCUGCAGAGAGAUACUGGGGACAUUGAGUAGCAGCGGUGGGGUUGGGAGGCAGAAAUGAGGACAGGAACAUUUACCUUGUGUUUCUCUCAGCUUCUCAGAUGACCAAGAUGGUGCUGCAGAUGGUGCUGAGGAUGGAGAACCCACCAAGCCCCGCUAGGAGCCACCUAGACUGGAUGUAGAGCAUGGCCCCAGCACCCGCAGAGCAGACACUGCGAUGACAACGGACGACACAGAAGUGCCCGCUAUGACUCCAGCACCGGGCCACGCCGCUCUGGAAACUCAAACGCUGAGCGCUGAGACCUCUUCUAGGGCCUCAACCCCAGUCGGCCCCAUUCCAGAAGCAGAGACCAGGGGAGCCAAGAGAAUUUCCCCUGCAAGAGAGACCAGGAGUUUCACAAAAACAUCUCCCAACUUCGUGGUGCUGAUCACCACCUCUGUGGAGACAUCAGCCGCCAGUGGCAGCCCCGAGGGAGCUGGAAUGACCACAGUUCAGACCAUCACAGGCAGUGAUCCCGAGGAAGCCAUCUUUGACACCCUUUGCACCGAUGACAGCUCUGAAGAGGCAAAGACACUCACAAUGGACAUAU
rnacentral:lncRNA from 1 species